UUAAAACUUGUAUGCUUAUCAUCCUCCUGUGUGACCCUAGAACAAAAGUAACUUUCCUACUGAAUUUAUUGCUAAUUAAAUUAAGUAGUGGUUACACAAUCAUAAUUUCUGUCUCUGCUAUUUGUUAACUUUAGAGUAACUUUUACUUUUGUUUUGGACUUAUUUACGCACACGUUUUGUCCAAACCAGAUAUUUGACAUCAAGACAACAUUCACACAAAAAAAAUAAGAAUCAAAAACUGGUAAACAAGUGGUGACCUUGGUGCUGCCCAAGGUCCUCACCAACAUCCACCUGUUAGAAAAGAGCAUUAUUAGUGAAGAUCCAGCAAAACAAUGUUUUCCAAGUUAUUAUCUCACGGUUACCUGAAUCUUCUGUGAAAUUAUGUUGUGUCUUUUGUGAUUUCCUUCCACACAAAUGCUGCAAAUGUGCAUGUGAUCAGCUAUGCAGUAAAAAUCUUUAGACUUCUGAUGAAGACAGCUUCUGUCUUGGAUGUCACUGCCGAUGUCUUUGAUAAUGUGUUUUUGCAACUGUGUGCCAUGUUGACGGGCGUGGGGCUCACAGAAGAAGUCGUUGCAGGUCUGGCAUAUCUUCACAGCUGCAUUGUGGUUGCAAAUGUCACACAUCAACUCCCCAUGGCUGAGAGGAGUAAAGAAAAGCAGAGUCAGAUCAAGGUCUUUAAUGGCGUAUUAAGAACUCAGUGGGCUCCCUUGUUGGCAGGUUGAUAGAAUGUGGAUGGAUUUAAACAUAAGGAAAACUUCUUUGUUGAGGUUGAUUUGGGUUAUUAUCAUUGUGACAUGAUGUCAGGAUCCUUGAUGGAGCCUGGAGAAAAAGUGUUUGAAUGACAGCAACUUCUACAUUUGGGUUAGAUGAUACCGAUCAUUUAAAACUGUGUCACUGCUGCUUUGGGAAUCCCUAGAUUUAGACGAUGAAUAAUCACAGGUGUCAGAUGAAGAUAUGGACUCUGAUAUUUUUGGAUAGUACCGUCUAAGAGAGAAAAGAAGUAAAACAUGUAUCAGUCAGUAUUUGUUUAAUUUUGUAACUAAAUCAUACAAGGCACAGUUAAUGGAUAUUUACAUAAUUUAUGUCAAUUGUUUAUUUUAUUAUGCAACUUGUUUUACCUCCAUCUAUUAGAAUAUGUAAGCACAUUCAAGUCAAUCCUAACCAACUUUGA